rnacentral:rRNA from 1 species
UACGUAGGGUGCAAGCGUUGUCCGGAAUUAUUGGGCGUAAAGAGCUCGUAGGCGGUUUGUCGCGUCUGCUGUGAAAACUCGGGGCUUAACCCCGGGCCUGCAGUGGGUACGGGCAGACUAGAGUGCGGUAGGGGAGACUGGAAUUCCUGGUGUAGCGGUGAAAUGCGCAGAUAUCAGGAGGAACACCAGUGGCGAAGGCGGUUGCCUGGGGCUUUGCUGACGCUGAUGCGCGAAAGCGUGGGGAGCGAUCCGG